GACGAACGCUGGCGGCGUGCUUAACACAUGCAAGUCGAACGGAAAGGCCUGCUUUCCCUUGUGGGUUGCGGGUACUCGAGUGGCGAACGGGUGAGUAACACGUGAGUGAUCUGCCCCCAACUUGGGUAUAAGCCUGGGAAACUGGGUCUAAUUCCCGAUAGGAAUGCAGGGUGGUGGCUGUGGUGGAACACGAUUUUCUAGUGGGUGGGGAUGAGCUCGCGGCCUAUCAGCUUGUUGGUGGGGUAAUGGCCUACCAAGGCGGCGACGGGUAGCCGGCCUGAGAGUGUGGACGUCCACAUUGAGACUGAGAUACGGCCCAGACUCCUACGGGAGGCAGCAGUUGGGAAUAUUGCACAAUGGGCGGAAGCCUGAUGCAGCGACGCCGCGUGGGGGAUGACGGCCUUCGGGUUGUAAACUCCUUUCGACCUCGAGGAAGCCACCUGGUUGGAAGGGUGGUGACGGUAGUGGUAGAAGAAGCACCGGCUAACUACGUG
rnacentral:rRNA from 1 species